ensembl:lncRNA
AUGCUACAAAUUGAUUCCAGACUCUUUUUUUUUUUUUUUUUUAGGAAAAAACCAUCAUUGAAACAGUUACUGGAUUUAUAUUGGAAAAUUCCUACCAGGGUGUGGCUCCUUCAAGUGCCCGCCCUUUCUCGUGAUCUCCCCAAGAACAGGCAGAGGGACAUCCUGGGAACCGACCAAGAGGCAGCUUGGAUCCUACUCCUGCCACUAAGUGCUGCACCCAAGAACAUGGGCAUGGAGAGCCAAAACCUCAGACACAUGGCAAGGCACCCACAACCUCAUUUGUGUGCUUGGACACCUGAAAAUCCUUUACCUGAUUUGCACAUGCAAAGUCAACAGCUUUCAUCUAAAGGGGCUCCAGAGGAAGAUUCUAGCCCUCAACCAUCAUGGCUAUGCAUACAGCGUGGUAACUAGAGGCAGAGGCUCAGCCUCACCUCAUCUGUAACAGAACGUUCAGAGCUGCUCAUAUAAUCCUUGUACUUGGACAUAAAUACAUCAAAGGUUUGGAAGAGAUCAUGGUAAGUCGUGAGAACAAAACUCAGAUUUGUUUAUGACACCACCCCAAAGCAAAGAUCUGAAGCGUGCUUUCAUUUUCAAAUUCAGGGUCAUUUGACACAAGCCCGAUGGUGAACUGUACCCAUGUAUUAAAAUCAAGAUGGUUUCACUCAAACAGUGAAGGGCGUCAGUCUGUGAAAACUAAAUCAAUUUUUUUUUUAAAGUCUCAUUUAACUUGCUGCAAAUCCAACCCAUUAAGUUCCCCUGUAAAGUGGAUUUAUGGAACAUGUGGAACUUGCUGGCUUCUUGGAAUAUUGCAAAGACAGAUUUUUUGAUGGAGAAUAUUAUGCACUUUUCCCUAUUUCCUAUUUCAAAUUUAUUAUUUUCUCCUUUUAAAAUAUUUUUUGCAGAGUUAAGUUUGGAUUAAGCCAAAAACCUCAACCUUUAUAUUUUAGUCCAGAACAUAUUGUAAGUACACUUGAAAGUAAAUUUUAAAGCACUUGUUCUCUUUUAACUAAUCCAGAACAAAGAAUUUAAAAUAAACUUUCCAAGACGCUUAUCAAUUUCAAGAUGUACAAAAAUUUUUCAACACAUGAAAAUCUUAAUUUUAAAUGCAUGUUAUUUAUAUCAUCAAAAAUACAUGUUCAAUAUGUUUUUCUCUUUUUUUGGCAUUAUAUGAGGAAAUCUUUUUUUUUAAUUUUUUUAUUGCAUUUUAGAUUUUGGGGUACAUGUGCAGAACAUGCAAGACAGUUGCAUAGGUACACACAUGGCAGUGUGUUUUGCUUCCUUUCACCCCUUCACCCACAUUUGGCAUUUCUCCCCAGGCUUCCCUCCCCAGCUCCCCCCCCGCUGACCCUCCCCUUUUCCCCCCAAUAGACCCCAGUGUUUAGUACGCCCCUCCCUGUCUCCAUGUGCUCUCAUUUUUCAUCACCCGCCUAUGAGUGAGAAUAUGCAGUAUUUCAUUUUCUGUUCUUGUGUCAGUUUGCUGAGAAUAAUGUUCUCCAGAUUCAUCCAUGUCCCUACAAACGACACGAACUCAUCAUUUCUGAUUGCUGCAUAAUAUUCCAUGGUGUAUAUGUGCCACAUUUUCCCAAUCCAGUCUAUCAUCGAUGGACAUUUGGGUUGGUUCCAGGUCUUUGUUAUUGUAAACAGUGCUGCAAUGAACAUUCAUGUGCAUGUGUCCUUAUAGUAGAACGAUUUAUAGUCCUUUGAAUAUAUACCCAGUAAUGGGAUUGCUGGGUCAAAUGGAAUUUCUAUUUCUAAGGCCUUGAGGAAUCACCACACUGUCUUCCACAAUGGUUGAACUAAUUUACACUCCCACCAACAGUGUAAAAGUGUUCCUUUUUCUCCACAUCCUCUCCAGCAUCUGUUGUCUCCAGAUUUUUGUUUUUUUUUUUUUUUUUUUUUUGAGACGGAGUUUCGGGCUUGUUACCCAGGCUGGAGUGCAAUGGCAGGAUCUCAGCUCAUGGCAACCUCCGCCUCCUGGGUUCAAGCAAUUCUCCUGCCUCAGCCUCCCGAGUAGCUGGGAUUACAGGCAUGCACCACCAUGCCCAGCUAAUUUUUUGUAUAUUUUUUUAGUAGAGAUGGGGUUUCACUAUGUUGGCCAGGAUGGUCUCUAUCUCUUGACCUUGUGAUCCACCCGCCUCGGCCUCCCAAAGUGCUGAGAUUACAGGCUUGAGCCACUGCGCCCGGCCUGUCUCCAGAUUUUUUAAUGAUCGCCAUUCUAACUGGUGUGAGAUGGUAUCUCAAUGUGGUUUUGAUUUGCAUCUCUCUGAUGACCAGUGACGAUGAGCAUUUUUUCAUAUGAUUCUUGGCCUCAUAUAUGGCUUCUUUCGUAAAGUGUCUGUUCAUAUCCUUUGCCCACUUUUGAAUGGGCUUGUUUGUUUUUUUCUUGUAAAUCUGUUUGAGUUCUUUGUAAAUUCUGGAUAUCAGCCCUUUGUCAGAUGGGUAGACUGCAAAAAUUUUUUCCCAUUCUGUUGGUUGCCGAUUCACUCUAGUGACUGUUUCUUUUGCUGUGCAGAAGCUGUGGAGUUUGAUUAGGUCCCAUUUGUCUAUUUUGGCUUUUGUUGCCAAUGCUUUUGGUGUUUUGUUCAUGAAGUUCUUGCUUACUCCUAUGUCCUGGAUAGUUUUGCCUAGAUUCCCUUCUAGGGUUUUUAUGGUGCCAGGUCUUAUGUUUAAGUCUUUAAUCCAUCUGGAGUUAAUUUUAGUGUAAGGUGUCAGGAAGGGGUCCAGUUUCUGCUUUCUGCACAUGGCUAGCCAGUUUUCCCAACACCAUUUGUUAAACAGGGAAUCCUUUCCCCAUUGCUUGUUUUUGUCAGGUUUAUCAAAGAUUGUAUGGUUGUAGAUCUGUUGUGUUGCCUCCAAUGCCUCUGUUCUGUUCCAUUGGUCUGUAUCUUUGUUUUGGUACCAGUACCAUGCUGUUUUGAUUACUGUAGACUUGUAGUAUAGUUUGAAAUCCGGCAGUGUGAUGCCCCCCGCUGUGUUCUUUUUGCUUAGAAUUGACUUGGCUAUGCGGGCUGUCUUUUGGUUCCAUGUGAAGUUCAUGGUGGUUUUUUCCAGUUCUGUGAAGAAAGUCAACAGUAGCUUGAUGGGGAUAGCGUUGAUUCUGUAAAUUACUUUGGGCAGUAUAGCCAUUUUCAUGAUAUUAAUUCUUCCUGACCAUGAACAUGGAAUGUUUCUCCAUCUGUUUGUGUCCUCUCUGAUUUUGUUGAGCAGUGGUUUGUAAUUUUCCUUGAAGAGUUCCUUGUGAGUUGUAUUCCUAGGUAUUUUAUUCUUUUUGUAGCAAUUGUGAAUGGCAGUUCAUUCUUGGUUUGGCUUUCUUUAAGUCUGUUAUUGGUGUAGAGGAAUGCUUGUGAUUUUUGCACAUUGAUUUUAUAUCCUGAGACUUUGCUGAAGUUGCUUAUCAGUUUCAGUAGUUUUUGGGCUGAGGCGAUGGGGUCUUCUAGGUAUACGAUCAUGUCGUCUGCAAAUAGAGACAAUUUGGCUUCCACCUUUCCUAUUUGAAUGCCCUUUAUUUCUUUUUCUUGCCUGAUUGCUCUGGCUAGAACUUCCAGUACUAUAUUGAAUAGGAAUGGUGAAAGAGGGCAUCCUUGUCUAGUGCCAGAUUUCAAAGGAAAUGCUUCCAGUUUUUGCCCAUUCAGUAUGAUAUUGGCUGUUGGUUUGUCAUAAGUAGCUUUUAUUACUUUGAGAUACGUUCCAUCGAUACCAAGUUUAUUGAGGGUUUUUAGCAUAAAGGGCUGUUGAAUUUUGUUGAAUGCCUUCUCUGUGUCAAUUGAGAUAAUCAUGUGGUUUUUGUUUUCGGUUAUGUUUAUGUGGUGAAUUACGUUUAUAGACUUGCAUAUGUUGAACCAGCCUUGCAUCCCCAGGAUAAAUCCUACUUGAUCAUGAUGGAUAAGUUUUUUGAUUUGCUGUUGCAAUCGGCUUGCCAAUAUUUUAUUGAAGAUUUUUGCAUCUGUGUUCAUCAUGGAUAUUGGCCUGAAGUUUUCUUUUCUUGCUGGUUCUCUGCCGGGUUUUGGUAUCAGGAUGAUAUUGGUCUCAUAAAAUGAUUUGGGAAGGAUUCCCUCUUUUUGGAUUAUUUGGAAUAGUUUCAGAAGAAAUGGUACAAGCUCCUCUUUGUAUGUCUGGUAGAAUUCGGCUGUGAACCCAUCUGGACCUGGCUUUUUUUAUGUGGUAGGCUCUUAAUUGCUGCCUCGACUUCUGACCUUGUUAUUGGUCUAUUCAUAGUUUCAGCUUCCUCCUGGUUUAGGCUUGGGAGGACACAGGAGUCCAGGAAUGUAUCCAUUUCUUCCAGGUUUACUAGUUUAUGUGCAUAGAGUUGUUUGUAAUAUUCUCUGAUGAUGGUUUGAAUUUCUGUGGAAUCUGUGGUGAUUUCCCCUUUAUCAUGUUUUAUUGCACCUAUUUGGUUGUUCUCUCUUUUCUUUUUAAUCAAUCUGGCUAGUGGUUUGUCUAUUUUGUUGAUCUUUUCAAAAAUCCAGCUCUUGGAUUUAUUGAUUUUCCUCACCUAG